rnacentral:tRNA from 1 species
GGAUAGCUCAGUGGUAGAGCAUCUGCUUUGGAUGCAGAAUGUCCCAGGUUCGACCCCCAGCAUCUACA